GCUGGGUGUGGUAGAAGGUAACCUGUAGUCCCAGCUACUCAGGAAACUCAGACAAGAGGAUUGCUUGAGACCAGCCUGGGCAACAGAGUGAGACUCCGUCUGCC
rnacentral:sRNA from 1 species